rnacentral:tRNA from 1 species
GCCUAUGUAGCUCAGGGGGUAGAGCGUUUCCUUGGUAAGGAAGAGGUCUCCGGUUCAAGUCCGGAUAUAGGCU